GAGUUUGAUCCUGGCUCAGGACGAACGCUGGCGGCGCGCCUAACACAUGCAAGUCGAACGGAGCUUAGAGAGCUUGCUUUUUAAGCUUAGUGGCGAACGGGUGAGUAACGCGUGAGUAACCUGCCCUAGAGUGGGGGACAACAGUUGGAAACGACUGCUAAUACCGCAUAAGCCCACGGUACCGCAUGGUACUGAGGGAAAAGGAUUUAUUCGCUUUAGGAUGGACUCGCGUCCAAUUAGCUAGUUGGUGAGGUAACGGCCCACCAAGGCGACGAUUGGUAGCCGGACUGAGAGGUUGAACGGCCACAUUGGGACUGAGACACGGCCCAGACUCCUACGGGAGGCAGCAGUGGGGGAUAUUGCACAAUGGGGGAAACCCUGAUGCAGCGACGCCGCGUGGAGGAAGAAGGUUUUCGGAUUGUAAACUCCUGUCGUUAGGGACGAUAAUGACGGUACCUAACAAGAAAGCACCGGCUAACUACGUGCCAGCCGCCGCGGUAAUUC
rnacentral:rRNA from 1 species